rnacentral:rRNA from 1 species
UACGUAGGGUGCGAGCGUUAAUCGGAAUUACUGGGCGUAAAGUGUGCGCAGGCGGCGUCGCAAGUCGAGUGUGAAAGCCCCGAGCUUAACUUGGGAAUUGCGCUCGAAACUACAAUGCUGGAGUGUGGCAGAGGAAGGUGGAAUUCCACGUGUAGCGGUGAAAUGCGUAGAUAUCGGGAGGAACACCAGUGGCGAAGGCGGCUAUCUGGGCUGAAACUGACGCUGAGGCGCGAAGGCUAGGGGAGCAAACAGG